CCCAGACUCCUACGGGAGGCAGCAGUGGGGGAUAUUGCACAAUGGGGGAAACCCUGAUGCAGCGACGCCGCGUGAAGGAAGAAGUAUCUCGGUAUGUAAACUUCUAUCAGCAGGGAAGAAAAUGACGGUACCUGACCAAGAAGCCCCGGCUAACUACGUGCCAGCAGCCGCGGUAAUACGUAGGGGGCAAGCGUUAUCCGGAUUCACUGGGUGUAAAGGGAGCGUAGACGGCGACGCAAGUCUGGAGUGAAAGCCCGGGGCCCAACCCCGGGACUGCUCUGGAAACUGCGAGGCUGGAGUGCUGGAGAGGUAAGCGGAAUUCCUGGUGUAGCGGUGAAAUGCGUAGAUAUCAGGAGGAACACCGGUGGCGAAGGCGGCUUACUGGACAGUGACUGACGUUGAGGCUCGAAAGCGUGGGGAGCGAACAGGAUUAGAUACCCUUGUA
rnacentral:rRNA from 1 species